UACGAAGGGGGCUAGCGUUGUUCGGAUUUACUGGGCGUAAAGGGCGCGUAGGCGGAUUUUUAAGUCAGGGGUGAAAUCCCAAGGCUCAACCUUGGAACUGCCUUUGAUACUGGGAAUCUUGAGUCCGGGAGAGGUGAGUGGAACUGCGAGUGUAGAGGUGAAAUUCGUAGAUAUUCGCAAGAACACCAGUGGCGAAGGCGGCUCACUGGCCCGGUACUGACGCUGAGGUGCGAAAGCGU
rnacentral:rRNA from 1 species